rnacentral:rRNA from 1 species
CAGCCGCCACGGGAAUACGUAGGGUGCGAGCGUUAAUCGGAAUUACUGGGCGUAAAGCGUGCGCAGGCGGUUAUAUAAGUCAGAUGUGAAAUCCCCGGGCUCAACCUGGGACCUGCAUUUGUGACUGUAUAGCUAGAGUACGGUAGAGGGGGAUGGAAUUCCGCGUGUAGCAGUGAAAUGCGUAGAUAUGCGGAGGAACACCGAUGGCGAAGGCAAUCCCCUGGACCUGUACUGACGCUCAUGCACGAAAGCGUGGGGAGCAAACAGGAUUAGAUACCCCCGUAGUCCCUGUCUCUUAUAC